UCAUCUAGGGAAGGCGUGCCAGGUACCAUUAAAUGUUCAGGCAGCAGCUAGCGCCUCCUUCCUUCUGGCAGGGCGAGCCCCACUUCUGUUUGAAACUGUACCCCUACUCCCACAUGGUUUAUAAGUACCCCAAUAAUUUAACCUGACACCGGGGGUCCUCGUCGCUCUGCUAGUACUAUGCUUUGGAUAUUUGUAUCCUCAUAAAAAUUUAUGUGGACACAUAAUCCUCAGUGUAAUAGCAUAAAAAAGCGGGGUCUUCAGGAGCAGCACCAGGACUAAAGGAAUGUGCCACCACUGCCUGGCUUCUAUUGUUAGAGUCCAAGAAUCACCGAAGAAAGACCCCAGACUCAAGUAGUAUGCUCAAGCAAGGAGUGUUUAUUCCACGCAGAAAUUUUCCAGCGUGCUGGGAGCCACCAUUCCUUAGAGCAGGUCUACAAAGUAAGCAUGCAGGCUCAAUUUAAAGGCAAUUAGGAGGAUUUCCAGAAGGAGGAUCAGAAGCUUUUCACGACGAUGGUGCUGAAAGCCAAGAAGGAAGAAGCUCCUGCUCAUCCCAAGACUGAAGCCAAGAAGGCGGUGCCCGUGCCGAGAGAGGAGAUCCAGUCACAGGGGAAGAUCUGCACUUCCUCCCUUGUGGCUCUGGAGGCAGCACAAAUACCCUCUCAAAAGCAUGCCGGGAAGAAAGAAGCUUGACCAUUCCACCGUCAUCAAGACCCAGCGCCACACACACACACCCCAUCCCAACCACAGAGUCAGCCAUGUAGAAGACUCACGACCUUAUCACACUUGUGCUCAUCAUCAGCUAUGUCAGGGCUGACAAGCGCCAGAUCAAAAAGCCUGUGAAUGAAGCAACUUUGACACUGAUGUGGCCAAAGGCAUGUGUUCGGCUGGCUUCUCACUGAGAUGUUCUGAAUGUUGCCAAGAAAAUUGGGAUCAUCUAAACUGAGUCCACCUGAUUAAUUCUUAAAAAAAAAAAAAAAUCACAAUAAAAGUGUUUUGCCUGCAUUUA